AUAAAUUCUUUUAUAGUUUUAUGAGUAUCAUAGAUCGUACACAAAUGCCGAAUACCCGAUUGUUACGGCAGAGAAGACAUACCGCUAUCAGACGAGUGUCAUAUACGCAGAGCCGUAUUUAGGAUAUUAUAUUGGCCGCCAGACUAGCUUAUAUGGGUCACUUGGAGAACUUUUGAUAGGUGGGCCUAAAUUUGAUGAUGAUUUUUGUUUUUGUGUUUUUUGGUAAUAAUUUUUUUUGGCAAUAGUUCACUUACGAGUAUAAUAUAGACGGAUAGCACGUAACAAUAAUUAUAUAAAUCACCGCUGUCAGUCAAAACCUCGUAUAACGACCGGUCAGGAACCAAUGCACAGUAGAAACGACCGGGCAAUCGGCCAAAAUCUCGAUCGUAUUUAUAUUUAGGAAGACCUAGGAGUAACGUGUGGUAAGUGUAAAGAUGAGAUUCCGUUCGGACCAAAGAAAAAAAAAAAAAAACAUGACAUAUAUUUGGACCAAUUUGACAUUUUUACCAUCUAGUAUUUAUUUUUUUUCUGAUUCGAAGGCGAUAUUUACAGUUCGCCGAUUGUACCGCACGGGCUUUUAUAACACUACGACAAAUACCUACUUAACCGUAUCUCGGAUAUAUUAUACGAAUUUAAAAGGUAAUCGAGUAGAGGUUUUCAAAACGAACUUCAUCGUCGUGAUUCUCGGGCACGGAUUUAUACGCACUAAAAUGUAUUAAAAUAUGUAACAAUGUGUCGGGUGGCGCGUAAUUUCCUUUGAAAUACGCUUCAAAUAUUAUAUGCAGUUAAACCAUUUUUCUGAGAGAAGCCAGGUAUGUAUUGGUCUUAUUACGGUGCGCGUAUUCCUCCCUUUUUUUCUUUU